rnacentral:rRNA from 1 species
AUUGAACGCUGGCGGCAGGCCUAACACAUGCAAGUCGAACGAGUGGCGGACGGGUUAGUAAGGUCUGGGAAACUGACUGAUGGAGGGGGAUAACUACUGGAAACGGUAGCUAAUACCGCAUACCAUCAGAUGUGCCCAGAUGGGAUUAGCUAGUUGGGGGGGUAAAGGCUCACCAAGGCGACGAUCCCUAGCUGGUCUGAGAGGAUGACCAGCCACACUGGAAAUGAGACACGGUCCAGACUCCUACGGGAGGCAUCAGUGGGGAAUAUUGCACAAUGGGCGAAAACCUGAUGCAGCCAUGCCGCGUGUAUGAAGAAGGCCUUCGGGUUGUAAAGUACUUUCAGCUGGGAGGCGUUACCCGCAGAAGAAGCACCGGCUAACUCCGUGCCAGCAGCCGCGGUAAUUC